AUGAACAUAGACCCACCCGGGCCUGGGGCGCUCCCAGGCCUGCUGGCCGCGCCCCUUCGACUUCGGGGUUCCUCUGGGAGAGUUACAUUCCUCGAUGGCGUCUCUCUUUGUCCUCGACUCAGAGAAUCAGGAUUCGGGGCCUGUAAUUGAAGCAGGAGUCAGGCCAUGGCUGCGGAGAUGCCAUCACCCUAAGGAAAGAGGGAGGCAUCUUCUGAGGAAUCGCCUUCAGAACCCGAGGCACGUCUGUUCAUACCUUCAAUCCUGACCAGCUGUUUUUGAAGGCGAAUAUGAUGUUUGGAACCAUCCAGAAGUCAUUUGGAGUCCAGUGAAAAAGCCAGCGAUCAAGGGGAAAAUAAAGGUCUGAGUGAAAAGGUAGCAACCAAACAAAUAGGAGUGUGGCAGGAGAAGAGUUCCAACAGGAGUCGGACAAGAUCACUUCAGGAAGAAGGAAGACACCGAAGAGGAGGAGAAAGUUUUUCUGGAGCCUCUUAGGGUGCCUGAUUGGGUGUGAACCUUCAAUCAACAAAGACAGAUGAACCGGAGAUAUGUAUACACACCUAUUGAGUAUAAGGUUUAUACGACACAGGAGCUUCAUAAGGAAAUGAAGACCUGAAGAAAGUGAGAUCUGGGCGUUUCGAUGCCAGGUUGGAUGAAGAGCACAGACGUGGAAGAAUACCUAGGACAACAGGUAUGAGGUCAGAGUAGGAAACUGGGGGACGCUUAGCCAGGCCUGUGCACCCCGAUUCUUCUGGGCGUCCCUUUUUCUUUGGAGAUAAGGAUGUUCAUCUCCUCCUGGUCUAGGGAGGGCACCUCUCACAGGAGGGCACCUCUCACAGGAGGGCUUUAUGACCUGUUUCAGGAAAGAAAAUCACAGGAAAGGUCAGUGUGACCUUCCUGCAACUGCCGUUUUCUCAAACUCCUUUAGCUUAAAAUAUUUAACAUGCCAGGUGUUGUAUUUUGAGACAGCGUGUCCUGAACUCCAUCCACACCCUUACUCAACCGACGAUUAAGAGACCUCAAGACUCUGCUUUCUCUGACCACAGUCUCCUGAAUUAUCAAGGCGAGAACCAUCACGGGGAUCGACUUUACAUCUGCAAAUACUGUUAUUCCACAAGGUCAAGGCCAACACCGCUUUCUAACAGCUGUUAGGCCCACAGCUACAUUUCCUCACGCUUCGCCUUGGCCCGUAGCCUAAAAAUGUUAGGAGUAGCAUUGCCCUUUCUCCCCAUCCCGUCCCCUCCUUCUCUCUCUCCACAGUUCUCCUCCCUGCAGAAAGGAAACUCCUCUGUUUUGCUCAGAAGUUUCUCAAAAGCUACAAUGCAAAUCACCCUAAUCGUUUGCUAGAUGAACAGUGAUCAGUCUAACCUCCUAAUUAGCAUUGUUAAAAUCUGCUAACAAAGGACAUUUAACAAUAUCUUAAUUAGGAAGGAUUUCCAAUUUGUGAUAUGGAGCAUGUUAAACAAACAGGGCACAAUUCUCUUUUUGUUCCUGGGCUCGGCAGCCAGAGAGAUUACAUGAGAGAUUACAUGAUAUGACACAAGUUCUGCAUUUGCCAUUUAUCAUUCUAUAUCCUUUACACAUUUGCACUAUAUAAUUAGUGUCGUGGCUAAUUUGACCUGUGUUAUUGUUUGCACUGUAAGUUGGAGAGAAUAGAGUGGGUGAUGCCGGGUGAUGGAAAUUGGGGCAGGUGUCUGGUUCUCCCUUGGAAUGACUGCAGCUUCAAACGCCUGCUGGAAAAGACCUCGGCUAACAAACAGAGCAAACCUGGGGGGCCUCCAGGCGCGGACAAUGGUGUACAAGGUAAAGAACCUCUUUGAGUCAUUCCAGAUAAAUACGUGGAUGGCUAACCAUCUUAGUCUGCCCUCCUUUUCCAAGCUCUUACAGCUUACUUUAAAAGCUCCUAUUAUCUAUCACUUAAUUAUUAAAAAGUGUCUACUCUGUUUUCAUAAAUUAUCUAUGUGUUAGAGAUGUUGGCGUAUGAGAGAGAGUCAUGGAGAGGGAGGUUCCAAAGCCAAUUACCCGAGCUGGGAAGAUUGUAGAAUACAGUGGGACCCUUGAAUUAUUCUGUA